rnacentral:rRNA from 1 species
GUAACGCGUGAGCAACCUGUCCUUCANAGGGGGACAACGGCUGGAAACGGCCGCUAAUACCGCAUGACAUAUCCGGAUGGCAUCGUCUGGAUGUCAAAGGAGAAAUCCGCUGAAGGGUGGGCUCGCGUCCGAUUAGCUAGUUGGUAGGGUAACAGCCUACCAAGGCGACGAUCGGUAGCCGAACUGAGAGGUUGAUCGGCCGCAUUGGGACUGAGACACGGCCCAGACUCCUACGGGAGGCAGCAUG